rnacentral:rRNA from 1 species
UACGUAGGGUGCGAGCGUUGUCCGGAAUUACUGGGCGUAAAGAGCUCGUAGGUGGUUUGUCGCGUUGUUCGUGAAAACUCACAGCUUAACUGUGGGCGUGCGGGCGAUACGGGCAGACUGGAGUACUGCAGGGGAGACUGGAAUUCCUGGUGUAGCGGUGAAAUGCGCAGAUAUCAGGAAGAACACCCGUGGCGAAGGCGGGUCUCUGGGCCGAUACUGACGCUGAGGAGCGAAAGCGUGGGGAGCGAACAGG